UACGUAGGGUGCAAGCGUUGUCCGGAAUCACUGGGCGUAAAGGGCGCGUAGGUGGCGCCGCAAGUCCAUGGUGAAAGCUCGAUGCUCAACAUCGAGUCGGCCACGGAGACUGCGGGGCUCGAGCACUGUAGGGGCAGAUGGAAUUCCGGGUGUAGCGGUGGAAUGCGUAGAGAUCCGGAAGAACACCGGUGGCGAAGGCGGUCUGCUGGGCAGUUGCUGACACUUGAGGCGCGACACGUGGGGAGCAAACAGG
rnacentral:rRNA from 1 species